rnacentral:pre_miRNA from 1 species
AAUAAAUGCAGCCAUGAGUUUCCACGCCCAACUUUGAUCGUCCGUUUUAUUUGAAAUUUUUUAUAAUAAAACAUGAAUAAUACUUUACUCGUGACUUAUAUUUUUAAUUUCUUUCAAAAAAAUUUUAAAUAAGACGAACGGUCAAAGUUGGAUGCUGAAAACCAUGACUGCACUUAUU